CCGGUAGGAGGAGGGAGGCGGCGGAGGCCGCGGGCCGGGGUGUCUGGCGCUCGUUGGACAAAGAGAUGAUGAAACGAAACACAGCCCAUCUGACUCACCGGGAGGGCCGCGCCGACCCCCUCGCAGGGUUAGCCCAGAGGCAGACGAAGAGCUGAAGAGCGAGGGUGCCCCCCAGACGCACCUAACUUGGGCGCUACGGCUGGGGGAUGAGUUGGCUGUCAAUAAAGGCACCUUAGCUCCAA